rnacentral:rRNA from 1 species
ACUGAGGAUAUCGAUCACUGAAGUUAAGCAACGUUGAGCGUGGAUAGUACUUGGAUGGGUGACCGCUUGGGAACACCACGUAACGUUGGCG